ensembl:lncRNA
UGAUGUGAGGAACUUUUUGUGUUAUGUGGAGUAUAACACACUGCUGCUUUUGACCCCACACACAUCCAUUACUGUAGAAUGUGGCCCUGUUGGGUCAACGGGGACAUCUGAUCUAGUCCUACGUUAGGAAGCCGUUGAAUGAGUUUUGUUAACAUUGGUUUUAUAUUAAAAAUAUAUACUUUUAAUAAAAUGUUGAACUUGUCAACACAUCACGGCUGGGAAAAAUUCCCAGUCUGUACGACUUCCAAGUAAACCAAACUUAAAUUAUGUUGGCUACACACACACACACACAUGCACGUCCCUCUAAAUUUACUUUGCUUUGUCUCAAUUUGUUUCUGAGCCAUUUGCCAUCCUUAAAAUCGUCUGAAACACAAUAGAGGUGAAAUGCGAAGCUUGUGUUGUCUGGCAGCAGAUAUGAGUCUGUCUGGAUGUUGCCUUCAUUCAGAAAUUCCCUGGCAGCCGUAGAAACAUCGUCAGACUCCAGCAGCUUCCAGAGAGCUCAUUCAACCCCGCCCGCUGCUGGAUCGCAUUACUUGCGAGGGCCCGGCGGCCAAGAAUUCAGGAUGGAAAGGAUAAAAAUCGGAUGAAAUGAAAAAUAAUCCCUGUUGAUGCCAGACCCCUCUGGACACUCGAAGCUGAUUUUGUUUGUGGAACACACCUUAGUCUUCACUGGAGUCUCCAAAGCACCAGGAACCAGGCCAUUUCAUUUUCCGAUUUCUUGCAUUGACUCAGGGGCUAGGCCUAGGACUGGCUUGGAUAAGGCCUACAUCCUGCUUCUGUACUACAGGUGAGAUCAAAAUAAAACCAUUUGAAAUAGUUUAAGAGUGUAAUCA